AACGUAGGAGCCAAGCGUUAUCCGAAUUCACUGGGCGUAAAGCGCGUGCAGGCGGUCUGAUAAGUUGGAUGUGAAAUCUCCCGGCUCAACUGGGAGAGGCCGUACAAUACUGUUGGACUAGAGGGCGACAGAGGAAGGUGGAAUUCCCGGUGUAGUGGUGAAAUGCGUAGAUAUCGGGAGGAACACCAGUGGCGAAGGCGACCUUCUGGGUCGCACCUGACGCUAAGACGCGAAAGCUAGGGUAGCAAACGGGAUUAGAAACCCCAGUAGUCC
rnacentral:rRNA from 1 species